rnacentral:rRNA from 1 species
CGCAGUAAAAAAGAAAGGAAACCGCCCACUCGCACGACCUCCUCCUUCUCCCGCAGGCCGCAGCCGCGCCCUUCACCGCCUCCUCGCGCCGCGGGAGCCACGGGAAGCGGCCGCGGGUCGCCGGGAGCCUCCCCAGCCGCACGACCUCCUCCUCAUCCCCAGCCGCGGCUCGCCGGGAGCCUCCCCUGCCGCCGGAGCCGCCCCGCCGCAGCUUGGCCGCCGCCACUCCGCCUCCGCCACUCGCCCCCGCCGUGGGACAGCCGUGGGACAGUCAGAGCCGCCGCGGGCGUGAGCUGCCGCCCCGCCCAUCCUCUCCCACCUCCCGCCCAUCCUCGCCCUCCGCUCGCCGAUCCUCUUCUCCGCCGCCCGCCUUCCUCUGCUCCUCCUCUGCCGCCGACGAUCUCAUCCGAGCCAGUUCCUGAAGCAUUGUAUUUCCAGUUAAAGGAUGUAGUGAUGUUACAGAGGAGCGCGCGGCUGGCCGGCCUAUGUGAUGUUCCUGCCUGCGGCUGCCACCAGGCUGUGCAUGCGGCUUGCUUUGUUCAGGUCCUCUCAAUUUCAGGAGAGGAAGUGAACUCGAUUAAUACUGUCAAUUUUGGAAGCAGUUUUUGUGAUUCUGGUUCAGCAUGGAUAAUGUUGUUUAGGACUGUAAACAUGGUCAUGGUUAAUUUUAGUUGCUAGAUGGAAAAGCAGUGCUACAAAUUUUAGAACUAGGGCGUCGUUUUCCACGGCUCUAUCAAGUUAUUUGCAUUGUACAGUCACAGUUCUAAGCUUAAUCUUAUUAGUUCUGUAGCAUUGCAGAUCAGGGUCUUUUUUCCUAGCAGAUCAAUACCUUUGGUCGGAUUUAGCUUAUUUGAUAGUGAACAAAACAUAAAUGGUGUGAAUAUAACGAAUAAUUACGCGGUGUGACCUAUCAAAACUAUUAACGUGAAUUUUUCAUUUCUCAUUUUUACACUUUUUAUUCUUCCCUUGAGAUCCACUGUUUGCUCUUCUAACAGUAUAAUACUAGCUGUGCACUUGCAGCCCCUUUCAGUUGAGCUGGGUCCUGGUAUCCUCGGGUACAUUUUUUAGGGAAUCCAGCUGUUGGAGAUGUUCGCGCAGUCGGAGAUCUAUAUGAUACUGUCUUCGAGAACAAUUUGAUGAACCACAGUGUCGCCCUUCCACCUGGUUCUAUGGGGAAAGUAAAUUACGUCGCUUCAGCUGUUCAAUACAGCCUAUAGGAUACAGUGCUAGAGUUAGAACUUCAGGGCAUGAAAAAGCAAUUUACUAUGCUUCAGACAUGGCAUGUGUGUACACCAAGACCUGUUGCAUCAAAGCUUUUUGCGGAUACACCUCUUCUUACAGGACAGCUCGUGUGCUUGAUGCAUCCCUUGGUUCUUGGAGGAACAUGUGCUAUUCCUGGUGCUUUUGGUUGUGGAAAAACUGUUAUUAGUCAGGCACUUUCCAAGUACUCCAGUUCUGAAGCUGUGGUUUAUGUGAGAUGUGGUGAAAGAACAAAUGAGAUGGCUGGGGUUCUCAUGGACUUGCCCCAAUUGACAAUGACGUUGCCCAACGGACGUGAAGAGUUUGUCAUGAAGAGAACAACAUUGGUUUCUAACGCGUCUAACAUGCCCGUCGCUGCUCGUGAAGCCUCCAUUUAUACAAGUAAAGGUGUAAUGCCUUGAUAGCCGUGGAAGUAAAGGGGAUUUAUUGAUCAAGCUGGCUCAUUAUAUUAGGGUUGUCUUGAUCUUGCUUACUCAAGUGCUUCACCAGUAGAGCUGCACAACAUGUGCGGUGUGCCAAGCCGUGCUUUCAAGUUGUGUCUUCGGCCCUCCCCGUUGUAAUGCUCGUCUAGCAUGAAGCUUGAAAGUUGAUCCAAACCAACACCAUGUAUUCUUAUGGAUGUAUGAGUCAACUCAUUGUAGGUGGAGCUUUUCUCUUGCACACAACUUACUUUAUUUUAUGCUUUAUCAGUGUAAUGUCCAGUUUCAUUUGCA